GGGCAUUAUUGGGCCAAGUCUAUUAUUAAGAUGCAAAAGGCGGCCAUUCUGAAUCUCUGAUCUCCAGUUAUACUGUCUGAUAAAAAGAUGCUGGUGUAAACAGGCAAAGUAAUUAUUUAUUUCUUUAAGCCCAUAUAGGCUGGGCUCUCAGUGAAGGGACUUUGCCUCAGAGCUGGAUGAAGGGAGAAAUAGGUUUGACUUCUUUAGCCCAAUAGUUACAGUGAUGUGGAAAUGCUUCUAUUUUACAGGAGCAGUUGUACUGGGAAAGAGUCUCAGAGCUCAAUUAGGAAGUAGUCAAGCUCACCAUCAACAAUUCCUCUGCUGUCACAACGAUGGAAGCCAUCUCCAUGGAAUUCCCUGUUUAUGACUUUGAAGUCCAGGAAUCUAGCAGAAGGGUACACGCAGGACUGAGAAGACAAGCAAGUAAAGAAAAUUCUACAGUGUCACACACCAAAGAUGUCCUGCCUUUCUCCAUAAUCCCUGACCACAGAUAGAAGAUUGAGCUAGCUCAGCUCCUUAAAUUCCCA
rnacentral:lncRNA from 1 species